CUCUUCCCGCUAUGUUCUCUCUCUCUACAGCCCAGUCCUAUCCCGAGCCCAGUGCUUGGUGGAAGCCCAACGCUAGCCAAUCCCUGCUGGCCUGGUGCCGUGAGGUCACAAAGAAUUACCGCGGAGUCAAGAUCACCAACUUCACACAUCCUGGAGGAACGGCCUGGCAUUCUGCGCCCUUCUCCAUCACUUCAGACCUGAUUACAUAGACUACAAGGCCCUCAAUCCUCAGGAUAUUAAGGAAA